UUUGGUAAAGCAAAGCAAUGGAUUAAUACAUAACAUCUUUUGAAAAUGAGUCAAAUAACCAUUAAAGUCAAUCUAUAAUUAAAGAAAUUCAACCGUUUUUGAACUCAUUAAAUGGAGUUAUGUGCAAUCGCCUUUAGAAUGUCUACCAAGGAGUGUAAAUAACACGGUGGUUGUUAUCAACACUCUUUUAUAAGAGCGCAC
rnacentral:lncRNA from 1 species